GCGGCAACAGCUCAAAUUUGAAAUCUGGCGCAAGCCCGAGUUGUAAUUUGUAGAGGAUGCUUCUGGGUAGCGGCCGGUCUAAGUUCCUUGGAACAGGACGUCAUAGAGGGUGAGAAUCCCGUAUGUGACUGGCUUGCACCCUCCACGUAGCUCCUUCGACGAGUCGAGUUGUUUGGGAAUGCAGCUCUAAAUGGGAGGUAAAUUUCUUCUAAAGCUAAAUACCGGCCAGAGACCGAUAGCGCACAAGUAGAGUGAUCGAAAGAUGAAAAGCACUUUGGAAAGAGAGUUAAAAAGCACGUGAAAUUGUUGAAAGGGAAGCGCCCGCAACCAGACUUUGCGGCAGUGUUCGGCCGGUCUUCUGACCGGUUUACUCGCUGUCGUGAGGCCAUCAUCGUCUGGGACCGCUGGAUAAGACCUUAGGAAUGUAGCUCCCCUCGGGGAGUGUUAUAGCCUCUGGUGAUGCAGCGCGUCUCGGGCGAGGUCCGCGCUUCGGCAAGGAUGAUGGCGUAAUGGUUGUCGGCGGCCCGUCUUGAAACACGGACCAAGGAGUCUAACAUCUAUGCGAGUGUUCGGGUGUCAAACCCCUACGCGUAAUGAAAGUGAACGGAGGUGGGAACUUUUUGUGCACCAUCGACCGAUCCUGAUGUCCUCGGAUGGAUUUGAGUAAGAGCAUAGCUGUUGGGACCCGAAAGAUGGUGAACUAUGCCUGAAUAGGGUGAAGCCAGAGGAAACUCUGGUGG
rnacentral:rRNA from 1 species